rnacentral:lncRNA from 12 species
UAACUUAACCUUUUACCUUCUACAGUGCACUUGUGUUGAAACCAGGGCUCAGCUCAUCCAGCUGGUGUUGGUGGCUGCAGAAACAGCAGGAGGGAGCAAUUGCUGAACCACAGAAACUCCUCAGCCAGUCCUGCAGAACAGGCUCACCGAAACCCAAACAUUUUUUGUGGGGAAGUGUAGCAUGUGGAGAAUGCUUUAAAAUAUUG